AUUACAUUAUUUAAUACUAUGGAUAUUUUGGUAAAUUAAUUUUCAUUUCCAUUACUCAUUCACAUUUAUUUUGCUAAGUAAACACACAAUGGCAUUUAAGCAUAUUCUCAUUCUCAUUUAUUUUUGUCAACUAAACAUUAGAAUCUCAUUCACAUUCCAACACAUUCUCAUUCCACCUCAUUCACAUUCCAAGAAGUAAACGCACCAUAAAAGACUAAUAAUGAUAAAAAAAAAUACAUCCCAUUAGCAAUGCAAUUUAAGAUCAUAUCAAUCUAAGUACAUUACAUAGUUAAGAUCCAAGACUCAAGUUUAAGUUAGGGUAAUCUCUAAUAAAUAAAACACAAUUAUAAGCACCACAGAUUUUUCUAAUAACCAAAGGAAGAAUAAAGGAUUUCAUAAAUUAAAUUACUUAAGACCAGGAGGAAUUUUAGGAGUUGGCCUACCCACUUCAACUUAUAUGGAUCAAACCCUUUUCCAAUUGAAGAAAGAAAAAUCGUAGUGUGUAAUAAUGCAAUAUACAACAACACAAUACAAACAACAGAACAAAAACAAAAAAAACCUCAAAAUCUCAACAAGAAAAAACCACCCCUCCUAGAGUAUUCACAAAAAAGUCUAUUGAUGAGCCCUCAACUCAGGACAUUAGCAAUUGACCCUAGGCCCAUUAUUAUAGCCAAUCAUCGACUCCAAUACAGGGACGCCCUCCCAACCUAGACAUUAAUAUGAUCUCAAUCUGAACAUUGUCUACUGCCGCUUGAAGUACCUCAAGAGGAGGAGAGAGCCAAUACCCAACAACCAUUUGGAAAAACAAACCUACAAUAAAGAAAAACAAUGUAAAAAGAAAAGGCAACAGAGAAUAAGAAAAAAAAGGGAAAAUCUAAAAACAUAAAAAAAAAACAGCCGACCAAAAUAUAAAAUAAAAAGAAAGAAAAAUUAAGAAGGAAAAAAAAAAAACAUCGGCCGAGAAGUCCUUGUUCUUCUUCUAGUAGCGCUGUGGUGGCAGCUAACCAUCGUCGAAUAGAAUGUUGUGAGUACGCCGGUGAUGGCAACCGACAAAAUGAAGUGAUGUCACCAAAGUAUAUAUCUAGGCCUAAGAUUUAAUUUACCAUUAAUUUUAAAAUAAAAUUUUAAUUAUUACAGAGAAAUAAUUGAUUUCUUCAAAGGGAAAAAGGUAAUCCGAUAAUAAGGAAAGGCCGAAUUUGAAGCGUAAUUAUGAAUGUAACCAUGCAAAUUAUAAGGGGCGCCAAAUUGCAUAAAAUUAAUCAUUUUUAAAUAUAAUUAUGUCCCAAUAAAGCACUUGGAAUUUUGUCAAUAAGUGAGCAGCUCACGGGACAUCAGCAACAACUUUGCAAUAAAAUCAAUUUGUUGUGUGAUAAUUAUUUACUUGAUUGAUGAUGGAAAGCAGCAUUAAUAAUUUCAAUCAAAUUAUCGAUUGAUGUUACAUAUGAUUUUAUGUGUGGGUUGAUUUUGUUCGGUAAUCGGUGAAAUCUUGCAAUAAUUUUAAUGUCUCAACUUAAUCCAAUUUGAUAAAGGGAGGACAAUUGUGUUUCUUAUGAAUUUAUUGUCGUCAUGCCAUACGCUAGACUCAUAAUAACACGCCUUUAGCUUGUAAUAUGAAACAUAAAUUUUACAGACUUGAUAUUCUAGCAAGCAUAUCAAACCAAAAGUCUCACUUUUCUUUUAGCUUGAUACAUUUCAAUAACCCUUUUUUCACAAGAUAUUAAAUUCUCUCCCCAUUUUUCGAAAAAAAUUAAAUCAUUUUUUGCAAUUUGCCUCCACUAUUUUCAGCAAAACAAGCAAGAGCUUAUUAAAGGAAACCCAGCUUCAUGGGCUACUCUUAGGUGCAAGAAACGGGCCUAAUUAAGCAAUAGCCUCCUAUUUCUGUUAAAAGCAACACUCAUAAUCUGAUUAUAUCCAAUUGAUGAAUAAGGGAGAAUCAUGCUGUUGUAUAAUAUUAAGGGUAGCUUGGGAUUGCCAAGGUUAAUGAAAUAAACUACUUCUGCACUAUAAAUGAAAUAAGUAGUUGAUUAAAAGAGUAAUUGGGUGUUUGAUUAACUGUACUAUUGUGGUUGCUCUAAGUGUGAAAAGUAGAGAAUAUG
rnacentral:lncRNA from 1 species